rnacentral:rRNA from 1 species
UAGGGAAUCUUCAGCAAUGGGGGCAACCCUGACCGAGCAACGCCGCGUGAGUGAAGAAGGUUUUCGGAUCGUAAAGCUCUGUUGUAAGAGAAGAACGUGUGUGAGAGUGGAAAGUUCACACAGUGACGGUAACUUACCAGAAAGGGACGGCUAACUACGUGCCAGCAGCCGCGGUAAUACGUAGGUCCCGAGCGUUGUCCGGAUUUAUUGGGUGUAAAGCGAGCGCAGGCGGUUUAAUAAGUCUGAAGUUAAAGGCAGUGGCUUAACCAUUGUUCGCUUUGGAAACUGUUAAACUUGAGUGCAGAAGGGGAGGGUGGAAUUCCAUGUGUAGCGGUGAAAUGCGUAGAUAUAUGGAGGAACACCGGUGGCGAAAGCGGCUCUCUGGUCUGUAACUGACGCUGAGGCUCGAAAGCGUGGGGAGCAAACAGG